GUUCAUUCUAUUGGAUUUUUGUUUUCUUUGUAUUGUAUUUUGUUUUUUUAAAGCAAUUAAAGUAUUAUGGAAAUUGGCCUUUUGUCUGCAAUGGGUGGUACAAAUACUUUCCCUAAUUUUGAUUUGCCUUUUGACUUUAUUUUUUCCAUACAAAACUUUUAAAUUUUAAUAUAGAAAAAAUAAUCCUUCUUUUCCAUCGUAACAUCUGAGCUUAGUGGUCCCAUCUCAGAGAGAUCUUUCUCACUUUGGAUCAUAAAAAUAAUCCCCCCAUGUUUUCUCCUAGGACUUUAUAGAUUGAUUUAUAUAAAAAAUCUUUUCUCCAUCAGGAAUUUAAUUUGGGGUAGGCAAUGAGGUAGGAAUUGAAGUAAUUCUGCAGGAGAGUGAGUUGGAGGGUUGACAAAGAUGAUCCCCCUGACACAUAAAUCCCACAGAAGUUGUAAUUUACUAUGAUCCACACAACAGAUACAUUUUAAACAAAACAUUCCAGGACCCACCCAGCAUGCAGAUGUUGGGGGAGCUUUCCUUCUCAGCUUUCUCCUCUUCUUGGUGGGAAACACGUAGGUUGUUUACAAUGGCAUUUUGCAUUUCCAGGGUGAGGUCCUUUCAAGUCCAGCAUAAUUACUUUACCAGGUUGCAAACCUGCCUUUAACACAUCUCAUCGCCUGGUUCUCACUUCCUGGUGGUGGGCACAAUUUCUUUCUCUGCCACCAGGGCCAUCCUGCUACCUGUUCACAGGUUAGAUAAUAACGCCAAGAUAUUUCUAUCCCUGUGCUAACAAUGACCCAUCUGUGGACAUAUGCACUCAGAUACCGCCCAUGUUUCAGGGCCAAAGAGCAAGGGUUGAGCCCAGCAAGCUGGACCAGGACCUACUGCUGAGCUCCAUCUUUGUUUUUUUCCAGGUGGUUUGUCAGUUGUUAUCAUAAUGGUUGAGAAUACAAGCUCUAGAGUAAAACCAUCUGCCCAUGUGUAACCGAACUCAAUGGGUGAGCGCAGGGCUGAAAAGCACAACCAAGGCUAAGUGAGUGAAGAAAAAUGGUUUAGUUGCUUGCAGUAAGCAAUGGAGGACACUGGGCAUAGCUUCCACAGCACUGCCUUCCCCAUCCCCUCCCCCCUUAGUGCAGGUGGAGACUUUAUGCUCCGGAGUGUCCAUAUGUUACAACUGUGUAACAAAUGGGCCUAAUCAGGGAGCAUGUGCAGGCCAUUACAUAGUGAGCUCAAUGCAACAUGCCUUACAGAACAGGUCCAAGGUAAGUUUUGGAUACUUGGAACUGGAGGAAUUUACAGGGGUCCUGCUGCAACGGUGUAAGUCUCACUGUAGGAGGGCACCAUCUGCCAAAAGGAGGACAUCAACUUCUGGAAAACAGCACAUAUAGUUUUCUCCUUGUCUGGAAAACACUUGACAGACUUUGUUUAGUUAUGGAUCAGACUUUAACCCUUUCCUGCCUGGUUUCUGGUCACACGCGUUCUUCCACUCUGCCCCUUUUGAGCGAUGGGGUCAAGCACCAACUUUGCUUCACCUUUCUGUGCUUCGGUUUCUUCUCU
rnacentral:lncRNA from 1 species